CCCAGUCACUCAGUCACUCAGUCACUCACCCACUCACUCACCCACUCACCCAGUCACUCACCAGUCACUUCGCCUUCGUGAUCUUGGUGAUUGUCUACAGCUGGGUCAUGCUGAUGUACCUGUCACUCAACGUCACGCUAGCCAGGAAGAAAUACUCAGUCAAGCUGGGUCAUGCUGAUGUACCUGUCACUCAACGUCACGCUAGCCAGGAAGAAAUACUCAGUCAAGGUGACUCACUCAGUCACUCAGUCAGUCACUCACUCAGUCACUCAGUCAAUCACCCAGUCACUCACCCACUCACUCACCCAGUCACUCACCAGUCACUUCGCCUUCGUGAUCUUGGUGAUUGUCUACAGCUGGGUCAUGCUGAUGUACCUGUCACUCAACGUCACGCUAGCCAGGAAGAAAUACUCAGUCAAGCUGGGUCAUGCUGAUGUACCUGUCACUCAACGUCACGCUAGCCAGGAAGAAAUACUCAGUCAAGGUGACUCAGUCACUCACUCACUCAGUCACUCACCCAGUCACUCACUCACCCAGUCACUCA